AUACGCUGUCCACGAGUCUGAAGAUACUAUCAGACCUGAACUCCUGCUUGGCUGAGGCAGUGAGUUCACCAUGCUGCAAAAGCCAUGGCGUGCUAUCGUGGCAAUUUCUGUCAGGUGACUCCUCAGGUUCCCUUGUUGCUAUUGUUAUCUGGUAGCACUCUUGCAAUUGGUUGGAAUGAAUUUUCGAGUAGGCUCUAUCCUUUUCUUCUAAAGUUCAGUGUUUGCUUUGCUGAAUAUUAUGUUUUCUUCUUGUUUGAGGAUAACUAGGAGCACUAAACGACAGCAGUGACCUUCUCAUGUUCGACUCCCAUGUGUUUGGGGUUGGUUGGAUCAAGUUGGUGCAUUGGAGGAUGAGACGUUUCUGAGGAUUAAGCAGCGAGGACAGGGACACAACUUCCUCGCUGCCCACCUGUCUAUGCAGCUUGGGCUGCUUUGGCGUCCAAGUUCUCGCAGCUGUUGCUGCCACUUCGCCCGCGGGCUGUGUCGCUCUUCUUGUGAUGUUGAGCAGUCGUCGACAUGGCAGUAGCAUGCAUUGUUGUGAUGCUCCAGGUUGAGGAGUUUUUAAUAGCAGUCUAACUGCCCCUUCAUUUGCUGGAAGUUUGAUUCUUAGCUCAGCCGUUUGCACUUAUAUAUUGUGGUAUGUUGUUUGACCUGUGAUCUGGAGCGUCAGAACAUGUGUAAAGGUCCUGGCAAUUUUUCUGUGAAUGUUGGUACGAAGUAGUUAAACUUGCAUUGCUUAACUUCUAA